GAGAGUAUAGCUCAAGUGGUAGAGCACAUGAUUAGCUCACACAAGGUCCUGGGUUCAAUUCCCAGUACCUCCU
rnacentral:tRNA from 1 species